AUUGAACGCUGGCGGCAGGCCUAACACAUGCAAGUCGAGCGGAUGAAGGGAGCUUGCUCCUGGAUUCAGCGGCGGACGGGUGAGUAAUGCCUAGGAAUCUGCCUGUUAGUGGGGGAUAACGUCCGGAAACGGGCGCUAAUACCGCAUACGUCCUGAGGGAGAAAGUGGGGGAUCUUCGGACCUCACGCUAUCAGAUGAGCCUAGGUCGGAUUAGCUAGUUGGUGGGGUAAAGGCCUACCAAGGCGACGAUCCGUAACUGGUCUGAGAGGAUGAUCAGUCACACUGGAACUGAGACACGGUCCAGACUCCUACGGGAGGCAGCAGUGGGGAAUAUUGGACAAUGGGCGAAAGCCUGAUCCAGCCAUGCCGCGUGUGUGAAGAAGGUCUUCGGAUUGUAAAGCACUUUAGGUUGGGAAGAAGGGCAGUAAGUUAAUACCUUGCUGUUUUGACGUUACCAACAGAAUAAGCACCGGCUAACUUCGUG
rnacentral:rRNA from 1 species